CUUUCUGAGCACGGGGUCAUAAGGACAAGUAUGCAGAGCUGCUCGCAGGGGGCCUGAGCCAGCUGGAGAGCUCCCUCCCUUGCACGAGGCUCCAUUAAAAGUAAAUGAGUCAGAGCAGCAAACCCAAGGGUGACAUCGAUUGCCUUCUGUUGCCAAGGAAUUCCGCGAGGCCUCCGUGCUUCUUUGUCCUUAAUGGCACGAAUCGUUGCAGUUCCUACAAAGGAAGAACUAUUGCUUUUGUUUGGCCAUUUUGGCAGGAAGGAGGAGCCCCGGGAGGAUGGCAUCUUGGCCCUCCAUUAACAGACGCCAUGCUUACCCCCAUGCUGUGGAAGCCAUUGUGGGGUUUCUGCAUUUGCUGAGGGCACCGUUCCAGAUAAGAGCAGCUGAAUGUGGAGACACCAGUGGAAUGAGCUGAAUGAGCAAACUGCCGAAGAAAUCAGGUCUGCCCUCUGGCUGCUGCUGCUGAGCCAAGGCCACCAGGCUUCGACCCUCUGCUGCCACUGCACUUGACCUGCUCACCCAACCAGCCUAUACUUUUGUUUUCAAUAAACACACC